rnacentral:misc_RNA from 1 species
AACGCACGAGACCUGCGGACCUGCGGAGGGAUCAUUAAAGAAAUAGUGGAUGUGCUGGCUUAAAUGCAUGUGCACUCCCAAAUUCACCAAUCCAUUCUCCUGUGCAUUGAUUGUAGGCAGUUAAAUGAAAACAUUUGUUGUCUUUCAUUGUCUGCCUAUGCUGUUUUGUAAAUCCUUAAUACAUAGUAAUUGAUUGUAAAAUUGGAUUUAAACAACUUUCAACAACGGAUCUCUAGAUCG